rnacentral:lncRNA from 1 species
UGGAUAUCGAUUUUUAGGUUUUCUUGGCUUGAUUGAUUUGGUGAGCUGAAAGAAAGACACUGCUUCAUCAGAAUUCAAACAACAGAAAACAUCUCCCAGCCACAUCAAGCAAGCAGCAGCGACGUGUUUCUCUUCAACACGGAUAAUUGCCUUAACAAUACGUCAUCCUGGUUCACAACAACGCAGUAGAUAUGCUGACCACUGACAGUAACAAAAUGACCUGCAUGGUUCAAAGGAAAUCAAACCUGUGAGCUUUCCCAGCAGCAGCUAUGCCAUGGUAUCACAUCUGAAAGUAGCAGUGAAGUGUAUUAUUCUCC